rnacentral:lncRNA from 1 species
GCGCUCCCGGAGCUGCAAACCCGGGCUUCUUCCUUCCUUCCUUCCUUUUUUUUUUUUUUUAAAUAUUCUUUCUUUUUUAGUCCUUUUCUCCCUUUCCUCCUGCCCUGUUUCCUUUUAGUAUUUUCUUUGUGAUUGUUUUUGCAAGUUUGUUUUAAAAGUUCACUGCAUGCUUUCUUUUCUUGUAGACCGGGAGACCGUGAUCUCACCCUGACGACCCCUGGAAACACUCCUGCCUGCCCUUUCUCCUACCACUAGAUGGAUGCAGAUGAGGACAAAGAGGAGUAAAGAGGAGCCACCUAACAAAGGAAUCCUGACUCCCUGAAUAGCCAUACACACCCAGCAACAACUAUAAAGAGAGGGGGUCCCUGAGCCAGGUGCAUGGGGAAUCGAUACUGACCUGCCUCUUCUCUUCCAGCACCGCUUCUCCAGGCCAGCCGCUCUAGAAGAGUCAUUCUAGCCAUGAGAACUGCAGUUGAUAUCUUUGGCUGCCACUAAAUUUUACAUGGCCUUUAUCUAUUGUCCAUUUUGCGAUGAUGAGUCAAAGCCUGAUUGCCAAAUGAAGAUGUUUUGUAAGAUUGGAUACCUGCUAAAGCUCAUUUGCAAUUGCAAAGUCUGAAGGUGCUUUAAUCCUGCCUGUGUUUACAGAAGAAUGAGACCUGGAGGACAGGUGGACAUAUCCCCUGGAGUAAAAGGCCCCAGAGAGACAAGCACAGCCAGUCACACUCCACAGUCCACAAAAGCUGUCUCAGGAGCCACCUCACUAAUUUUUUGACCCUUGUUUCCUUGUUUGUUCCCAACCCCCACCCUGCAGUAAUUUUGUUAUUUCCAUUCCAUCCUUCCCGAAGAUAAAAGACACCGUGGGCGGGAUCCAUGAAUAAAAGUUGUUAUUUAUCGAUGCUGGUUUUAGGGAACAUUUUUUCUUCUGAUUCAUGAAGUACUUCUCUGCAUUCGAAAAG